rnacentral:rRNA from 1 species
GUAGUUAGCCGGUGCUUUCUUGUACGGUACCGUCAUUAUCGUCCCGUACGACAGGAGUUUACAAUCCGAAAACCUUCUUCCUCCACGCGGCGUCGCUGCAUCAGGGUUUCCCCCAUUGUGCAAUAUCCCCCACUGCUGCCUCCCGUAGGAGUCUGGGCCGUGUCUCAGUUCCAGUGUGGCCGAUCAGCCUCUCAGCUCGGCUACCCAUCGCAGGCUUGGUGGGCCGUUACCUCACCAACUACCUAAUGGGACGCGAACCCCUCUUAAAGCGGAUUGCUCCUUUGACCUCAUCCCGAUGCCGGGUCGUGGUCUUAUGCGGUAUUAGCACUUGUUUCCAGGUGUUAUCCCCCUCUUUAAGGCAGGUUGUUCACGCGUUACUCACCCGUUCGCCACUCAGUACAAAACCGAAAUUCUGUACUCCGUUCGACUUGCAUGUGUUAGGCACGCCGCCAGCGUUCGUCCUGAGCCAGGAUCAAACUCUGA